rnacentral:rRNA from 1 species
UACGUAGGGGGCAAGCGUUGUUCGGAAUUACUGGGCGUAAAGGGCUUGUAGGUGGCCAACUAAGUCAGACGUGAAAUCCCUCGGCUUAACCGGGGAACUGCGUCUGAUACUGGAUGGCUUGAGUGUGGGAGAGGGAUGCGGAAUUCCAGGUGUAGCGGUGAAAUGCGUAGAUAUCUGGAGGAACACCGGUGGCGAAGGCGGCAUCCUGGACCAUUACUGACACUGAAAAGCGAAAGCCAGGGGAGCAAACGGG